ACUACCCGUAGCUCAGUUGGUAGAGCGGUGGAACGGCAAUCCACAGUCCCGGGUUCAAGUCCCGGCGGUCGCU